rnacentral:tRNA from 1 species
GCAUGGUUGGUUUAGUGGUAUAAUCGCCGCCUGCCACGCGUGGACCCGGGUUCGAUUCCCGGACCAUGCA